rnacentral:rRNA from 1 species
AUUGAACGCUGGCGGCAGGCCUAACACAUGCAAGUCGAGCGGAGCGGCGGACGGGUGAGUAAUGCCUAGGAAUCUGCCUGUUAGUGGGGGAUAACGUCCGGAAACGGGCGCUAAUACCGCAUACUAUCAUUUGAGCCUAGGUCGGGUUAGCUCGUGGGUGGGGUAAAGGCCGACCAAGGCGACGAUCCGUAACUUGUCUGAGAGGAUGAUCAGUCACACUGGAACUGAGACACGGUCCAGACUCCUACGGGAGGCAGCAGUGGGGAAUAUUGGACAAUGGGCGAAAGCCUGAUCCAGCCAUGCCGCGUGUGUGAAGAAGGUCUUCGGAUUGUAAAGCACUUUAAGUUGGGAGGCGUUACCAACAGAAUAAGCACCGGCUAACUUCGUGCCAGCAGCCGCGGUAAUAC